GCGCCCGUAGCUCAGUGGAUAGAGCGUCUGGCUACGGACCAGAAGGUCGGGGGUUCGACUCCCUUCGGGCGCG
rnacentral:tRNA from 1 species